AUACUUAGCUGGCAGGGUAAGUGCCAUUAUCACAAAGGUGGUUUUCCCAGGCCAGGAUUGUCCUUUGUGCUCCAGAUGUAUUGAACCCAAAUUUCCCCAAAUUCAAGAAACUUGACUGAAUAAUUUGUGAUAGUUGAGGGAUUGAGUUCAAGCCCCCC